rnacentral:rRNA from 1 species
CCCUUGGAUGUCCUGGGCCGCACGCGCGCUACACUGAACGGAUCAGCGCGUUUUCCCUUCCCGAGAGGGACGGGUAACCUGCUGAACCCCGUUCGUGGUAGGGAUCGGGGCUUGCAAUUAUUCCCCGUGAACCAGGAAUGCCCAGUAAGUGCAAGUCAUAAGCUUGCGUUGAUUACGUCCCUGCCCUUUGUACACACCGCCCGUCGCUACUACCGAUUGAACGUUUUAGUGAGGUACUCGGACUGAGCCUCAGAAGAUUCACGUCUUUUGUGCUGCUCGGGAAGAUUCCCAAACUUGAGCGUUUAGAGGAAGUAAAAGUCGUAACA